GCCGCUCAGAAACUUAAGGAAUUGACGGGGCCGCACAAGCGGUGGAGUAUGUGGUUUAAUUCGAUGCAACGCGAAGAACCUUACCUGGUCUUGACAUCCCGGAGACCCUUAGGAAACUAGGGGGUGCUUCCAUCUGGAAGAAUCUGGAGACAGGUGCUGCAUGGCUGUCGUCAGCUCGUGUCGUGAGAUGUUGGGUUAAGUCCCGCAACGAGCGCAACCCUUGCCUUUAGUUGCCAGCAGUUCGGCUGGGCACUCUAAAGGGACUGCCGGUGUUAAACCGGAGGAAGGUGGGGAUGACGUCAAGUCCUCAUGGCCUUUAUGACCAGGGCCACACACGUACUACAAUGGCCGAUACAAAGGGCAGCGACACUGCGAGGUGAAGCCAAUCCCGUAAAAUCGGUCUCAGUCCGGAUUGGAGUCUGCAACUCGACUCCAUGAAGUUGGAAUCGCUAGUAAUCGUGGAUCAGCAUGCCACGGUGAAUACGUUCCCGGGCCUU
rnacentral:rRNA from 1 species